GCCAAGCCCCUCGCCCGGCGUCUCCGCCCGGGGUGCUCUCCGCAGUUUCCUGGCUUGGAAGCCUCGGGAACAUGGCAAAGCAGCGGGGGUUUAACGGCGCUUGGCUGGGCCCCAGGUCACCCCGAGGUUGUCGUGUGAGGAGCGGCAGCAGGUGGGCGGUUGCCCCUGGCGCAGCGACCAGCAGGAAAGAUGGAGGAAGGGUGGUGACAGCCUGUGGCAGUCGGCGAGAGUGAGCAGCCCCACGCUCCAGACCGAGAUCCAUAGGCGCAGCUGGUCCAUGGGAGAGGGACCCUCAGGUGGGACUCUUCAGGACACGUGUCAAGACAGGUAAGCUGGGCAGUGGGCUGGCUGGGGGGUCUAACAGCUUCUGGACCCGCACAGUAGACAGUGGUUUGCCAGAAUCUGGGUGUGGACUCUCCUGGAAGGGAGUCAUUAGCUGCUGGGGCAGCUGGAUGGCAAGUUAGGGAUGUGUCAGGGGGAGUGUGUGUAGCUGGCUGGAAUCAGUUGUGGGGGUGCUCUUGGGGGUGUUCGAGGACCUGACUAAAAGCCGCCCUGGGCAGAACUCGGGGAGCAGGAUGCAGCUGGUGACUCCCUGCUGGCAGCGCUGGCCCCCCUGAGCUAGUGUGACCCAGCCCUCACGCCCUGUGGGAGGGGCCACACUGCAGGCGAGCGCUGUCUGCACUGUGUGUGGCUGGUGGGUUUUUAAUCCAGGUCGGGUGUUUUGUUUUUUAAGAAUGAUCUUGAACUUGUGGCUGCCCACAUUUCCUCGUAUUCUACGCUUGAGUUUUCUGUGGCUUCUCCACUGGAGUGGGGCCAGGGUGACGGUGGACUUGCCGGAAGUCCGACGGCUGCAGGUGGCAGCAGGUCCAGUCCGUCUACCUUUGAGCCUGGCGGCGGCAUGUCCUUCCCCACCCUGCUUGAUGACCCUCACUGGCUGAAUCACCUAGAAACUGGGAGAAGUGUUGGGGGGAUGGGGCUGAGGAGGCUUGUCUUUGCAUUCCGCAACCCCGCUGCUGUCUGAGGUCUCCGCCCAAGCUAAGGAGGCUUGACCAGGGGAGCGGCAUCGAUCCGACACUGGCCCGACCCGUCUGCACCGGGAGGCGCGCCUAGUGAGCCCCCUCGGUUUCCUG